rnacentral:rRNA from 1 species
UACGUAGGGUGCGAGCGUUGUCCGGAAUUAUUGGGCGUAAAGAGCUUGUAGGUGGCUCGUUGCGUCGGGAGUGAAAACCUGCGGCUUAACCGCAGGCCUGCUUCCGAUACGGGCGAGCUAGAGUUCGGCAGGGGAGACUGGAAUUCCUGGUGUAGCGGUGAAAUGCGCAGAUAUCAGGAGGAACACCGGUGGCGAAGGCGGGUCUCUGGGCCGAUAUUGACGCUGAGGAGCGAAAGCGUGGGGAGCGAACAGG